CCACCAACAGGUAAAUUUCCAGCCAUGGGGACAACUUUCGAGCUUUGUGUGGCUGUCAGCCUAUUCAUAGUGGUCAGUGGAUCAUGCCCAGUGGGGCGGGAGUUCAUUACUGCCUUUAUGCCUAACUAUUUGCUGAGCUACCAUGAUGAUCAGAGUCUUCAACUGGCCAUAAGCACACAGGAUUAUCCAGCCAUUGUUCAAAUUCAGGUCAAUGCAAUCGGCUUCUCCACCUCAGUGAAAAUAGAUAAACAGAACACCAAAUGGAUCGCCAUACCUGGUAACGCUGAAAUUGGGGGUCCAGGAGCUUCCACCAAAACAGUGCAGGUCACCUCCAACUCUGACAUCUCAGUGGUGGCCUUCAACUACAAGUUCUCAACCGGAGA